AUUGAACGCUGGCGGCAGGCCUAACACAUGCAAGUCGAACGGAGUGGCGGACGGGUGAGUAAUGUCUGGGAAACUGCCUGAUGGAGGGGGAUAACUACUGGAAACGGUAGCUAAUACCGCAUACUAUCAGAUGAGCCCAGGUGGGAUUAGCUAGUAGGUGGGGUAAAGGCCCACCAAGGCGACGAUCCGUAACUGGUCUGAGAGGAUGAUCAGCCACACUGGAACUGAGACACGGUCCAGACUCCUACGGGAGGCAGCAGUGGGGAAUAUUGCACAAUGGGCGAAAGCCUGAUGCAGCCAUGCCGCGUGUGUGAAGAAGGUCUUCGGAUUGUAAAGCACUUUAAGUUGGGAGGCGUUACCAACAGAAUAAGCACCGGCUAACUUCGUGCCAGCAGCCGCGGUAAUUC
rnacentral:rRNA from 1 species